CCCAGUCUCACGUCUGAACGUGUCACUGUCACGUUAAUUAAUCUAUUGGGACGUGUUGUGUAACACGUUUCCUUGUUAAAAAACGUGUUGAGCAGGACGUAAUUAUCGUGUUACUAUCACGUUGUAUUUCGCAUUCAGCCAGAACCACGUCAUCUGUCAAAAAAGCCCGACCCAAAAUGGCUAGAAUGUUAUUUCAUGCUUUUGACGUGCAGUUUCAUACUCUUAAGCCUGCUUUGAGUUGUGGGUUAGAAGGAGCCACCUUCUAGCUAGCAGUUUUAGAAGGCUGAACCCCAGAAUCCAGAAACAAGAACCGAGCAGGGACGGAGAAAAAAGAAGAAUCCAAAUGGGAAAUGAGAUAAGGCCUCUUCAUUUUCAACUGUGAAGGAUCUACAUGGACUUGGUCUGGAUAGCCUUUCCAGUUUUGAUGAGCCAGUCGGGUCUAGAGGAAAAACCCUAUAUGAGCCCCAGGAUUUUAUGUGGUAUGUAAACGUUCGAAAAACGCCGAAGAGCCCCGUAUAAGAGCCCCAGUGUGAUAGGCUGGUUGCUGUCAUGUGACACACGCCACCACAAGAAAGCGGAAACGCAUCGUAGAGCGAGAGCUGGCCGUGUGGGGUAAGAUCCUUGCUCCUGAUAUCCUGAUGUAUGGGUUGCACUCCAUUAUAUGACUCCAACAGAACACUCACAGAAAGGAGAGUAGUAUCAAACUACAAGACAGCCAGCAUGUAAGCAAGGCCUUGUUUGUCCUUGUUUGGCUACUCAUUUGUCUACUUCCUGAAGAGGCUGAAGCAUGCUGGCCUCCUUGCUUCCAUUAACAGCUGUGUUAUGGAGUGCAUCCUCACAUCAUGGUCUACUGCAGCGGUGGAUACAGAGGACAAUUGGCAGGUAUUUUACGUCACUUUUACAUUACUUUUACUGUGAUUUUGCUAGAUAUGGUUGUCGCUGUGCUAAAUAUAGGCCCAUAUU